CCUCCUCCCCCUCCCCCGGUCGCUUUUCCUGCUCCUCCUCCCGCCGCCGCCGCCGCCCGGACCGCUCGGGGGCGCCAGCGCGGGCGGGGCCGCGGCCUGGACGCAGGGCGGGGCGCGGGGGGCGCGGGGCCGGAGCUCCCGGAGGCCGCUGCUGCUGCCGAGGGCCGGCGCGGGGAGCUGGGGACCCGCAGCCGGGCGGGGGCGCCGGGACGCCUCGUCCCGCCCCCGGGACCCCCGGACGCGGGACCCCGACCACCCAGGCUGGGGCGUCCGCGAAACACACAUCGGACCUGUCCUGGAAGGCAAUUUGCAAGCGAAUUCUUUGAAACUCAAGAAGGAACUGUGCGGCCUCGAUCCUACGUCCCGGGCGUAGCGAGAGGACAGGACGGAGGAGAGGUGGCUGCACGAGCUGUGCCGUGGGCUGCGGUCCCUCCCGGGACCGGGAAACCUGGGGUCGAGUGUCCGCUCGCCGCCAGCCGGGUCUGGAGCCUAGACUCUCUCAUAGCCACGGUUUCCCUAUCUGAGUGCCAGCACCAGAGCGCGGGUGGAGUGGGAGGCCCUGCAUAUUUUCUUAAUGCCACCGGGCCUCAAAGUCCUUAUCUUUGAAAUGGGCUAAUAAGCCCGCCUCCGGAGUGAUGUCCUGGGGGUUAAAUGAGGUGUUACUUGCAACAUAAAACAACUGGUAAGAAGGAACCCCUGAAUUAGUGGAAACCAUUGUCAUUAAUAUGAUUAUUAAUCUCUACUGAAUCAAAAUUAUAAUACAAAUAGGAUGAUAAUAAUUAUGUCUUUCUGGGAUUUGAUGUUAUAAAAGCAGCCGCAGUAACGGCUUACCUUUACUGAGCAUGCGUUUUGUGCCCAACUUUCACUAAUCCUCUUAUUUAACCCUCUGAACUUGUUACUAGGAGAUGCCCACUGCACAGACUAGGAAACCAAAUCUCCCAGAGGUUAGAUAACUUGCCGCCGGUCAAGUAACUGGUAAGUGCAGAAUAAGGAUUCUGCCAAAACCCUUUAGGGCACUUUUUAUAGCUCUUGUUUUUCCCACCUUUGGCCUGAUUUAUCCAUGAAAGUUCAUCCUUUCUUGUAACUGAAAUAAGCCUCCAGAAAAUAUCUCCCCAUUGGUCCAAGUUCAGAAAACCCCAAGGAUGAAAAUCUAGAGGGAAUAAUGGGAAGGAGCUUAGUUUCUGGAAGAACCAAACUGAGCACAAAGACUCCUGUUGUAGACAAAGGAUCCAGAGCAAAUUAAAGAAGAGUAAGAAAGAGUUGGGCCACUUCUCGAACGUUGUAUGAGCUUUGACUCUUACAGCUUUGCCAAAGGCUCCAAUGAGCAAGGAGAGCCUGCACCAGCCGGAAAGGCUGAUACUCAGCGGGCUUUAACAGAUAUUUGAAAAGCACUUUAUGCAUAGACAUUUUUUCCUGAAUCAUUUGUAGGUAAGUUCCACACCCUAUUAUAACCCCUUACCCCUGUAUAUUUUGAUAUGUCUUUCCUACGAGUAGGGAUGUUAUCUUACAUAAUCACAGUACAGUUACCAAAUUCGUAGCUUUAUAUUGAUAAAAUAUGUGUAUCUAUUCUUGGUCCAUAUUCCAGUUUUGCCAGUUGGUCUGACCAUGUCUUUUAUAGUAUUUCUUUCCCCUCCAUCCCAAGCUCCUCCACUGUAGGGUCAGGUAUCGUAUUUAGCUGUCUGAAAACGUAUGGGUUUUCAAACAUUACUCUUCACUGAGAAGGGAUGAAAAUAAAUGUCCUCAAGUGUUUUCAUGGUGACAGCAACCCCCAGAAUUCCUAGGACAGGCCCUCAUUCCCCACAUUUCCCAGCUCCGCGUAGACCUUGCAUGGUCCUUCUGGGCAGGGCCCACUCAGCACCACUACGUGAUCCAAGUUCAUGAACUUGUCACUCUGGUGGUGGCUGUAGAAGCUGCAGCUGUCCCCUGUGUGGCGACCCGGGCCAGCCGAUCCCGUGGGCAGACUGCAGCUUAGUGCCUUCUCCUGCUGCAAAUUCUAAACGCCCCCGGGGCCGCGUGCUCCUGUUCGGUAAGAUGGAAGCCGCCACCGUACGGUACAGCCACGUGGGAUGCACAUUACCCUGGAGAACCAGCCACGCGGUGUGGCUUUGGGCUCAAGAGCUUCACUUGAGGGAAAUGCACUGGUAGCAGUUAGGCGUCAGGACAGAAAACGGGAUUUCGUGAUCAUGAGGAGUUCAAUUAUCCAAGGAUGUGCUGGAGGCUCCUUCAGCUGGAAGUAGAGAAUUUGAUAGACUAAUUAUAAUUAGGAAGGAAUUGAUUAAUACCUUCUCCCCUGUUGGCUGUGGGCAUGGGACAAGGAUAACCAGGUGCCAUCCCAGCAGGGGCAGUGCCUGGCGCUCAGUGGGCGCUCUGGGGGAAUGUCAUCCGUCGCUGGGAAGCCAAAUCCUGCAGGUGAAUGCAUCAGCAGAGCAAAUGAAUGGAGGACACGAAUGCUGCGCCCUGGGGCCCGGGCUCCGGCUCAAACAUUGCCAACGGCCUUGAUGAAGGAAAAGAGAAUGAGGUGAAUGGCACCCUGACAGUGAAAUGCUCUGGCCAGAGUGGCCCGGCCUCACUCCCGCUCCUGUGGGGGGAGGCCAGGCCUAUGGCCCCACUGGACACAGGCGGGUGCACCAGGCAGGGAGUGCUGGAAACCGGUGGUCAGCGGUAAGGACUGGUGGGGGCGGGACCCACCUGCAGUCAGAAUAAGAAAUACAGGCUGCCCCUGGCAUACAGAGGUGGGGAGCCUGGCAGCAUUCCAGGAAGACUUCCUAGAGGCAGCAGUGCCCCAGCGAGUCCCAGAGUAUCCAAGAUGGUCAGUUCCACAAAGAGGGACCCAAAGAAAAGGCCUCUCAGAUGGAGGGAGACUUCCGGGCCCUACCAGAGCCAAGAAGGAACUUACCAAGUAGUUGCAUUUCAUCAUAAAAUACCAGGCCAGAGCAAACGAGGGCGUCAGGAGGCUUGACGAGACACCAGGAUGCAAAGGUAAGAAGGGACUUCAUCAUGCUCUGGCGUUUCUGCUUUAUCCCAAAGGUGGUGGGAGGGUCUGAUCUGUCUGUUUGGGGUCCACCGGCACAGUUUCCCCCCAUGUGGAACUGUCCAUAGUCCCCCAAUACCCACACCCUUCUUUGGCCCCUACACAGCAAUUGAUGACACUUGGCCCAAGGUGUGUGUUUGCUGGUGGGUGGAAGGACGGGCCAGCCAGAUGUCUGCACCUAGGAUCCGCAGGGGGUCUGGCCCCAGAGACCAGGUGAGGAACAACUGACUGCUCCAGGCUUAGUCUGUGAAGGGAGAGGCUGAAAGUCAGCCCCAGACAGACACCCUCUUUCUCCUGUCUCCCUGAGCCCGGGCUCCUGUACCUCUUGUGUCAAAUUUCCAUGAAACCCAUUUUCCUUAUGAUGUCUUAAUAUAGAAAACUCUCCUUUUCCUGAGGAAGCUUGAAUCAGAUGACUUUACAACCAGGUAGUCACCUGAAGGAUGUUUCUUAAGUCUGGUUUUUAUUGAGAUUCAAUUUGCCUUCAGAAAAAUUCGUAUUUUGCAGCGUUUUGUAAAGGUAUACGGUUGUGUUACCAUGACAUCGGUGAAGAUGUAGAACAAUUUCAUCUCCCGCAAAGGUUCCCUCGUGCCCCUUCCCCACACCCAGAAGCCACUGAGCUGCUUUCUGUCCUAACGAUUUGCCUUUUCAAGAUGGUCACAUGAAUGGAAUCACACAGUAUGCAGCCUUUGGAUUCAUCCAUGUCGAUCCGUGAACCAACAGCUUGUUCCUUUUCAAUGUUCCUCAAUUUGUUCAUCCAUUCACUAGCUGAUGGACAUUUGGGCUAGUCCCAGUUUGGGACAAUUAUGAAUAAAAAGGCUAUGUGGGUUUUUCUGGGAACGUAAGUAGGAGCGAGAUCUCGGGGUCAAAUGAAAUGUGUUUAAGUUUGUAAGAAAUUGACAGGCUGUUUUCAAAGUGACUGUGCCAUUUGCAUCUGCACCAAAAAACAUGUGUUUCAGUUGUUCUGUGUCUUGAUCAGCACUUGGUGUUGUCAGCCUUUUUAAUUUUAGCCAUCCUGACUGGUGUGUAAUGAUGUCUCAUUCUGAUUUUAAUUCACGUUUUCCUCACGGCAGAUAACAUGGAGCACUUCUUCAUGUGCUUACUUGCUAUACAUUUACAUUCUUUUCUGAAGUACAGAUCUCUGGCCCAUUUUUUUUUUACAGUUUGUUUUCUUAUCAUUGAGUUCUGAGCAUUCUUUAUAUAUUCUGCAUACCUGGACUUUAGCAGAUAUGUGUUUUGCAAAUAUAUUCUCCCAGACUUUUUCAUUUUUUAACAGUAUCUUUCAAAGAACAGAAGUUUUUCAUUUUUUGGGUAAAAGUUAUCAAUUUAUCCUUUUGCAUUUUUUUUGUAUCCCAUCUAAGAAAUUCUUCCCUAACCCAGGGUUGCAACAAGUUUCUCCUAUGUUUUCUCCUAGAAGUUUUACAGUUUUUAAGCUUUAAGUUUUAUGAGUUAGUUUUUAUAGAUGACGGGAGGUGCGGGUCAAGGUUUUGUCUUGUUUUGCAUACAGAUGUCUACCUGCUCCACUGGGUGACUUGCAAGACUUGGAGGAUCCCAGCUGUGUCCUGGCUCCACCUGGCUUCACUGUGGUGCCAGGAGACCUGCUGGGGGGCUUCUGCUGGUGGCCUGUGACGGAGAGGACAAGAGGUUCUCUUGGAGGCAGGCAUUUGAAGGCCGUGGGUGGGGCUGGAGGUUCCUGGCAGAGCGGAAGAGGAGCUGGGGAGGGAGAGGAAGUGCAGGAAACUCCCGCAGGCAGCCGAGCACGAGCUGACUGUGGUCAAUGCAUUUUUGGUGGGCUUGGGAGAGGAGAGAAAGGGGGUGGUCUCUACUGUGCUUAAAAUGUUUAGAAUAGGGUUAAAAGCCUGAAUCUUUUGCCUAAAAUCACAGUCUUAGCGUGCCUUGAAAACUCAGCACAGACAGCAAAAGCGGUCCCCGUUCCCAAGUGGCAGCCAUUUCCGGGGCCCCCGAGCCUGGCUGCGGGGCGUGUAGGUUCCCCCCCGGGCUGCUUUGCCGCUUUGCCAAGGCCAUGGCCCUGCCGCGGGGGAGAGCGCAAAGCCGCGGGUCCACCGAGCUGCCUGGGAAUCCUGCUUCCAUCGGUGUCUCGUGGCUGUGGAGAAAGCCGUAGAUGCCCUCCCGUGAGCCACACAUUUCCUCCAGGCUGAGUUUCUCAGGCAGCCCCUCUGGCGGCGGUGGACACCACGGGCAGCAGUGAGCACGGUGCCCGGCUCGCAGAGAGGGCAGCUCUGCUGAUCCAUCAGCGUGGCCUGUGGCUGGCAUGGACAGGCAGCCUUUGCACCCCACCUCCCGUGCUCAUUCUGAGUCAUCUCCAUCUUAGCUGAAAGAAUGCCGCGCCCCUCAGGAUGCUCUGGGCUGCAGGGAACAGAGCAGGGCCUGCCACCAUCAUCAUGACCCGGGCCCUGGUCACCCUUGACGUAGAGGUCACGGUGCCUCUGGUGUAGAGGUCUAGCUCUGGACAUUGCUGCUCCUUAUAGCUGUGUUCACAUGCAGGACAGGGACACUUCUCCCUUGCCUCCUUCCAGAGGCUCCAGGAGGUUUCUUCUCAUGUGGCCAGAAUAUGGUCUCGGGCCCACGCCCUAGCAGCAAAAGGUAAAAAGGAAAAGGGCUGUCAUCUGUGUUGGGGAUCAUAAAACGUGAUCUCCUUUCUUUGUGGCCCUGAGUCCAGUGCGGAGGAAGAUAGGACAUCUUUUUUUAUUCAAGUUCGGGAUUUUGACCUGCAAAGCUCCCCCCGCACCAGCUUUUAGGGAGUUUGAGAACUUGGCCUGGAUGCCAGCUUGAGAAUUCUGACCAUCUGAGACCAGAGGCACCCACAGGUGGGCAGACCCAGAAAUAGGCCAUGGGAGGAGCCAUCCCUAGAGAAGACAGAAGGCGGCUGGAGCAAAUGCAGCCAGGUAGCAAACCCGAAAGUCCACAGGAGGUAGGACUCUUGCAAGUGGGUGACCCUCCUGAUGAUGAGAUGCCAGGUGGCAUUUGAGCAUCCAUCGUAGGGCAAGGGGAUGGAGGUGGCUGCCAGGUGCAGUCACUGGCAGAAGUCCAUGGCAGGUCCUCAGUGCCCGGCCAAGGACCAGACAGGGCUUCGGUCCAGCAGGGAGUGAGUUGGGAAGUCAAGAGCUGUGGGUAAAAUGCAGAUGCCCCAAGGCCAGAAAACCUGGACACACAUCUACGCGAGGUCUGUGUCCUGAGCUCCUCCAUGGGGCCCCUUCAGGUGUCCCUUUGGACAAAACCACAUGGGGGGUCCUUUCUCUGUGGGCCACGGGUUGUGAACAGGAAAGCAGGGUGUCCCCAUCGCUCUGGCAGCCCUCCUGGCUCCAGGGGGCCGGCUGAGGAGGAAGCCCGCCCGUGGACCUCCCAGUGGAGCAGCGGAGGGAACGCAGCCGUGAAGUCCUCUUGGACCACCCAGCCCUGGGCUUCUGGUCCCAAGAGCCAGCGCAUGUCCUCACCGUGGAGAUUUCCAACUGCUGUUUUUCUUCACAGCUCCAAGCACCAUGAGGGAUAGAGAUGCCCACUCAGAGGGCGCAGAGAAGACACCCACUAAAGAGAAGCAGCAUCACAGCGGCACCUUUCUGCCCAGAAGCCUCUGCUCUUCUGUCCUGGCAGCAAAGCUACUCCAGACCUUCACGCGUAAGGUAGGGCUCCAGGAUCACAUCAUCUACGGAGCACACUCCCUGCCCAGGGAUUGCGUGGGAAGCUGCACACGCCGGCCGGGCUGGAAAAGGACCAGCCCUCUCCUGAGACUCAGGGCUGUCACCUUAUCCCCCAGAUCCUGUGGGAAAACUCUGGCUGCAACAGAGCCGAGGUGCUUCCAGAAGAUGCCCUUGGCAUUCUGCUAUGCUCUAUUUGUAUCGUCUUUGAAAAAGAAGGAUGGCCCGACCUGGUACAAGCCUUGCUGCCUUCCUUCUGGGGGAAGAAGAGACUUUGAACAACACUCAUGAGUCAGAUGACAGUGUUCACAAAAGCACUUCUCUGCCUCCUGCCUGGGGCAAGACGGCCUGUGGCAUCCCUGCCCUCUUGUGUUCACAGGUCCUCCGAAGGGCCUGCAGGGCCGCCUGUGAGUUGAGCCCUCUGACCCCUCCUCCCCUGAGGGGUGCUCACACAGCCCUGGAGACACCAGUCCAGACAGACACGGGAGGGAGUGGCUGGUAGAGAUGUGCUGAGGAAAGGAAAAGAGAAAGCGGAUGCUGGUCAGCACCGAGCGUCUCUUUUUAUAGCCUCCUGUGAAAGAAGAGCUUUCCUUUCAUGUGAAUUUCCCUGAUAUUCACAAGUUUACAGGAACAGUUGAAAAUGUCAACUAUUUAUAUAACCUUUUGCCUUUUCCCAAGCAUCAUGAUGUGCGUGUCUCCAUCUCCACGUGCUGGGAGGGAGUUUGCAGUUUUCUUCCAAGCUGCUUGCAGGCAUCGCCCCUCCCCAGGCUCCUCUUGGGGUCUGGGGAGGGGGCAUUUCAGCCCUUUCCGAUUUUUUUUGCUGCUGUGAACAGCACUGCAAUAAACACCUUUGGGCAAGCUGCUUUUUUUUUUUUUUUAAUUCCUUUACAUAUCUCUUAGAAUAUUGCAGUCUGCCUUCCCUUCCUUGGCUCAUCAGGAGGUUCACUUACGUCACCCAGGAGAGGCUGCUCUGGGGAUGGGCCGGGAGUAGGAGGAAGGGGCAGCUCUGGACGCCCUGGCCUCUCCCUGCCCUCCCGCCUGCUGGCCAGCACCUGCCCCGCAGUGUCUGCUUCUCCUGACCGGGCCUCCUUCAGGUUGUCACGGCUCCGUCAGCGCUGGCCGAUAAAUCACCCUACAGCCCCUCUUCCAUUGCCAGCAGCCCCUUCUGAGAUGCCAUGGUUCAUACUCAUAGGCGAGGAGUUGCAUCAUCUACACAAGGCUGCAGGUCCUGGGAGGGGGUGUGACGGGGCAGGCUGGCCGUAGAGAGCACCACAUUUAGUUUGCUUUUGUCUCCAAAGGAAUUUCACAGGCCACUCACGCAACUCAGCAUCCAGAAACCAUCAGCAUCUUCUUGCCUCACGAUUUUCUGGGCGCUGACUUGGACUGGGAGAGAGGUUUUCCCGUGGCCUCGCCUGGGGUCAGUCCUGCAGCUGUGGUCAGAGGGCAGGUUGGCUCCCAGCUGGAAUAUAAGGUGUGAUUAUGGAAUAAGGAGAGUUUUUUACUUCCCCUCCACCUAAACAGAGCCCCUUGGCCCCAUGUGUGCUGACCCUCAGAACACUCCUCUCCACCAGAGGCCUUUAGGACACGUUCUUAAUUAAGGCCAGCCUCAGCCCUCUGCGGGGCACGCCUUGGCUUCUUUAUGGCCUGCAUCCUCGCUGCCACCUUCUCGUCCCUUGUUCUUCUAGGUUCUAGCACUGCCCCCUCCCCCAGAAACCAAGGCUGAGGACCUCAAGGGAGGGUGCUGGGCUGGCCCGGGACUGAGAGCCUCCAGGAAGGUCACCCACAGGCCAGACUAGGUGUGAGCUCAGGGUGGGCCUUAUGAAGAGAACUUGAGCAAGUACAUGGACGCCUGACCUGUCCACAGGCUAAGUGCUGUCAAAGCUCAUGUGAACAUGGUAAAUGCAAACUAGGGAGGAUAGACUGUCAAGGUGUGUGUCUGGGAGGGAUAGACAGAGAGGGAGGGAGAGAGAAAGGAGGGAAAGGGAAGGGGAGUAGCCGGU